UACAGAGGAGCCAAGCGUUGUCCGGAUUGACUGGGCGUAAAGCGCACGCAGGCGGAUGCGCGCGUGGGGUGUGAAAUCUGGCCGCUUAACGGCCAGGCGCCAUCCCAUACGGCGCGUCUGGAGUGAUGCAGAGGUCGGUGGAAUUCCUGGUGUAGCGGUGAAAUGCGCAGAUAUCAGGAGGAACACCGGUGGCGAAGGCGGGUCUCUGGGCCGAUACUGACGCUGAGGAGCGAAAGCGUGGGGAGCGAACAGG
rnacentral:rRNA from 1 species